CCUACGGGUGGCAGCAGUGGGGAAUAUUGGGCAAUGGACGAGAGUCUGAACCAGCCAAGUAGCGUGAAGGAUGACGGCCCUAUGGGUGGUAAACUUCUUUUAUAAAGGAAUAAAACGAGGCACGUGUGCCUUUUUGCAUGUACUUUAUGAAUAAGGAUCGGCUAACUCCGUGCCAGCAGCCGCGGUAAUACGGAGGAUCCGAGCGUUAUCCGGAUUUAUUGGGUUUAAAGGAAGCGUAGAUGGGUUGUUAAGUCAGUUGUGAAAGUUUGCGGCUUAACCGUAAAAUUGCAAUUGAUACUGGCAGUCGUGAGUACAGUUGAGGUAGGCGGAAUUCGUGGUGUAGCGGUGAAAUGCUUAGAUAUCACGAAGAACCCCGAUUGCGAAGGCAGCUUACUAAACUGUGACUGACAUUGAUGCUCGAAAGUGUGGGUAUCAAACAGGAUUAGAUACCCGUGUAGUC
rnacentral:rRNA from 1 species